UACGGAGGGUGCAAGCAUUGAUCGGAAUUACUGGGCGUAAAGGGCGCGUAGGCGGUGAGAUAAGUCAGAUGUGAAAUUCCGGGGCUCAACCCCGGAGCUGCAUUUGAAACUGUCUCGCUAGAGUUCAGUUUAGGGUAAACGGGAAUUCCACGUGUAGCGGUGAAAUGCGUAGAUAUGUGGAAGAACACCGGUGGUGAAGACGGUUUACUGGGCUGAUACUGACGCUGAGGCGCGAAAGCAUGGGGAGCAAACAGG
rnacentral:rRNA from 1 species